rnacentral:rRNA from 1 species
GUGUAAUGCAGCCUCUCUUCGGAGCAUUGGUGACAGGUGGUGCAUGGUUGUCGUCAGCUCGUGUCGUGAGAUGUUGGGUUAAGUCCCGCAACGAGCGCAACCCCUAUCCUUAGUAGCCAGCGGGUAAGCCGGGCACUCUAGGGAGACUGCCAGGGAUAACCUGGAGGAAGGUGGGGAUGACGUCAAAUCAUCAUGCCCCUUAUGACUUGGGCUACACACGUGCUACAAUGGCGUAAACAAAGGGAAGCGAAACCGUGAGGUCGAGCAAAUCUCAAAAAUAACGUCUCAGUUCGGAUUGUAGUCUGCAACUCGACUACAUGAAGCUGGAAUCGCUAGUAAUCGCAGAUCAGAAUGCUGCGGUGAAUACGUUCCCGGGUCUUGUACACACCGCCCGUCACACCAUGGGAGUUGGUAAUGCCCGAAGUCAGUGACCCAACCGCAAGGAGGGAGCUGCCGAAGGCAGGAUCGAUAACUGGGGUGAAGUCGUAACAAGGUAGCCGUAUCGGAAGGUGCGGCUGGAUCACCUCCUUUCUAAGGAA